rnacentral:lncRNA from 13 species
GUAUGUGCUUGGCACUAUAUUCAAGAAAUGCUCACUGCAUAAUGUCUGUUACUGGAAGUUGGAGAAUAAUAUGGCCAACGUCCCAACCUGCUUGACUUUCAGGCCACAGGUCUCAACUCUCUGCUGGUAUCUGUCUAAAUGUGGACCCUUCUCCUGAAGAAAAUGCCCCACAGAGUUGUCUUAUUUUCUGUUCUCCUGGACUUUUCAUAAACACUGCUUCUGAUAUGCCUUUCCUAUGGACAGCAUUCUACCCUUUUAAAACCAGGAUAAUACAGCACCAGCAGACUACACUGAAGAGUUUCCUGUGAUGAUUGUUCAGGACACCAACAGCCCUUGCACAGAUGUCAUUGUUGCUAUCGUGGUAAGUUGAUACUUGGCUUAUAGGAAAAUGUGCUGGUUGGUUGUAUUGUCUUUCUCACACACCUGAAUCCACUUUAUUUACUAACCGCACAUUUUUCUGUGUGAAAUACUCCAGGAUUUAUAAUUCCUCCAAAACACAAAAUACAACAAUUGUAAUUUAAUUAUUCCCAAGCAUUAACUUUACUCUUUAAACAUCUUUUCAUAUCAUACAUGAUUUCAAAUUUAAAUAACCUAAAGAGGAAGAAAAUUUCU